rnacentral:rRNA from 1 species
GUAACUUCGGGAGAAGGUACGCCUCUGUUUGUGAACACUUCGCGUGGUAAGCAAAUGGAGGCCGCAGUGACCAGGUGGCUGGGACUGUUUAUUAAAAACACAGCACUCUGCAAACUCGUAAGAGGACGUAUAGGGUGUGACACCUGCCCGGUGCCGGAAGGUUAAUUGAUGGGGUUAGUUUUCGGACGAAGCUCUUGAUCGAAGCCCCGGUAAACGGCGGCCGUAACGAUAACGGUCCUAAGGUAGCGAAAUUCCUUGUCGGGUAAGUUCCGACCUGCACGAAUGGCGUAACGACUUCCCCACUGUCUCCAGGAUAUGCUCAGCGAAAUUGAAUUUCCCGUGAAGAUGCGGGAUACCCGCGGUUAGACGGAAAGACCCCGUGCACCUUUACUACAGCUUCGCACUGGCAUCAGGAUUGUGAUGUGCAGGAUAGGUGGUAGGCAUCGAAACCGUGACGCUAGUCGCGGUGGAGCCUUCCUUGAGAUACCACCCUUCGCACUCUUGAUGUCUAACCGCGGCCCAUUAUCUGGGUCCGGGACCCUGCGUGGCGGGUAGUUUGACUGGGGCGGUCGCCUC